GCACCUAUUAUGGGAUACACGUUUUUAAACAUCCUUUUGUGUGUAAGUGUGCAUUAGUACAUGCUAACGAUAUUCAAAAAGUACAUACCUCAAAGAAAACGAUGACGCGAGUUAUCGUCUCUAACGUUCGAGGACUACAAAAAACACUCGGAUUGUAGGCAACAGUUUACUUCCUGGGAUUAGUGACGUAGAUAAGACCAACAUUAUCAUAGUUCAGCCCUCUCUGCUUUGCUUGGGUACGCCCUCAAAGACGAGGGUGGGGUGGGGAGCGCCGAGUCAGAAGAGAGCUAAAAUGGCGGAGGUUGUGAGUCCCUGCUUUGACUCUGUUUGCAAACUCUUGUUUCAUUGUUUAAGCGAUUAAAUAUCUCGAGUAGACGCUGUCUCUUUAGAUGCGAGGGCAAAAUAGCACUUUAUGGACUUCCACAGAGGACAUCAUGUUUAAUACGGUUCCGGAAAAAUCCAGUCAGAAGUUGUUCACGGAGUUUUCACAAUAACUGCUUCUCAUGAACCGAAGCUGGAUUUGCGCGACGUCUCCUCUUGAAAGUUGGAUUACUGUGCACUUCUGGAUCACAGACUAUUCGCAGCUGUACACAUCCUUCUACACUGUAUGCAAACAUGCAACAUCAUUACACACAGUACAAGGAGUCAGACUGGCAUAUGAGGAGCAAAGGAACCCAGGCAGUAGCAUCGUUUCACAAUGUUUCCAUCAUCAUCAUCAGUGGAUGCCUUUGCCGUCCGUAGCCUGAGAUUUCAGAUUUGCAGCAAAAAAAAAUGAUUUUCUCAUUUAUUGGAAUGCUGUGCAGGUAUUUGUACCUUGCAGCCAUCCAUUACAAUGUCACCAAGCCGUAACAAAAGCAGGAGAGGGAAAGUACAAGGCUAUGUUCCCAAAACACAAAUGACAUACCUUAUGUGGAGGAUGUGAUCAGGCUUGUGUUUGAUGAGGUAUUUGAAGAUAAGCUGAAGGAAGCCCUGAUUCCAAUGGACCUGGCAUCACAGUUUGAGAGACCUUCAAAGGAGGACGUGAUUGCAUGCCAUCUUCAGUGCAG